rnacentral:rRNA from 1 species
GGUCCUGCCUGCCCUGUGACCCCUGGUUUAACGGCCGCGGUAUUCUGACCGUGCAAAGGUAGCGCAAUCACUUGUCCCUUAAAUGAGGACCCGUAUGAAUGGCACGACGAGGGCUUAACUGUCUCCUUUUCCCAGCCAAUGAAAUUGAUCUUCCCGUGCAGAAGCGGGAAUUCUAACAUAAGACGAGAAGACCCUAUGGAGCUUUAGACGCUGGCACAGACCAUUCUAACUACCCCCCCCCCCUUUUUUUAAGGGGGUUAGAAUAAUUGAGACUGGUCCCCCGUCUUUGGUUGGGGCGACCACGGGGAACAAAAAAACCCCCAUGUGGAUAGAGAGAACACCCCUCCCACAGCUAAAAGCCACAGCUCUAAACCACAGAAUUUCUGACCAAAAUGAUCCGGCAACGCCGAUCAACGGACCCAGUUACCCUAGGGAUAACAGCGCAAUCCUCUUUAAGAGUCCAUAUCGACAAGAGGGUUUACGACCUCGAUGUUGGAUCAAGACAUCCUAAUGGUGCAACCGCUAUUAAGGGUUCGUUUGUUCAACGAUUAAAGUCUUACGUGAUCUGAGUUCAGACCGG